rnacentral:rRNA from 1 species
AACGAACGCUGGCGGCAGGCCUAACACAUGCAAGUCGAGCGAACCCUUCGGGGUUAGCGGCGGACGGGUUAGUAACGCGUGGGAACGUGCCCAAAGGUACGGAAUAGCCUCGGGAAACUGAGAGUAAUACCGUAUGUGCCCCUCGGGGGAAAGAUUUAUCGCCUUUGGAUCGGCCCGCGUUGGAUUAGGUAGUUGGUGGGGUAAUGGCCUACCAAGCCGACGAUCCAUAGCUGGUUUGAGAGGAUGAUCAGCAACACUGGGACUGAGACACGGCCCAGACUCCUACGGGAGGCAGCAGUGGGGAAUCUUAGACAAUGGGGGGAAACCCUGAUCUAGCCAUGCCGCGUGGACGAUGAAGGCCUUGGGGUUGUAAAGUCCUUUCAGCUGGGAAGAUAAUGACGGUACCAGCAGAAGAAGCCCCGGCUAACUCCGUGCCAGCCGCCGCCGUAAUAC